AGAGUUCAAAUGCAAUGUCCUCCUUUUCAAUUUAUUGUUAUGGUAAUCCUACCUGAAACCUAUGGCGAUUUUUGUGUUAAAUUUCAUUGAUUGGAAAUUGUUUUUGCUUCAGAAGGCUUUAGAUCUAUAUGGAGUUUUUAUAAACCUAGUGCCUAGAUCGUAACUGUAAUACCUUUUCAUUGUAAUAGUAAUCGUUAAUGUCUCCAAAUUUAAUCAUACCGAUUUGUAGGUUGCUCUUAUUAAUGAACCGGAUCAGAACAUUAAUUCUUACCAUCUAAACUAUCCUACUGGUGACGGAAAUGCUAAUGUGGAUAACGGAUUGCGUGCCAUUAGUCCCGCCACGGUUACCAUAGUUAUGGAUAUUUUGUCCAAGCGGGAAAGCGAUUCGAGCUUACGCCAGCUCGUACUGCAAUGUUUCACCAUGAUGGCAAUCAUAUUGCAAAAAUCUAGUCCUGAACAGCGCCAAAUCGAUUUACUUACUAUUUUUCAACUGUAUCUGGGAGCCGUUCACACCUUACUGGAAACGGAACAUUUCCUGCAGAAAGGAUCGCCGAGGUUAUAUUUCGAGGUGAAAGUUUCGAGGUGUCGCCAAAUGAUGAUAAUUACAUUGACGUCGGGGCUCUGACUACUAUUAUCGGAGUGUCACGUCAACAAGCAUGUACUGUGCAAUGCCAUGUUCGAAGCAAAAUUUAUACCCAGUCUAGUGCUGAUCCCGGAACGAGUUAAGAUCUGGCAUAUCGAUCAUCAAACAUUGGGCUCAACACUGGUCAGGAAUUUCCAUAAGCUUUGCAGCAGUUCUGAAAAAAUCCACUACAAUCUAAUGCAUACCAACAACGUGAACGUUUUGUUCGAUGGAUUGAAACUUUUCGGGCGACCGUCUCACGAUUUGGUAUGCGAUUGUUUGUACUUUGCCUUCGAGGGAGGCGAAUACCAUAGUUUGAACGCUCGAAUCGUUACCAAGCUGGUGGAGUGGAUACCUGUGAUGGCUGAGGCGGAACAAAACUACACCAGUGACGUACUGCUGAAGAAGUGUUCGGCCAGCAUUCAAAGGUAAAAAAACCCUUCAACCUGUUUAAAAAACAAACAAAUAAAUCGACAUUAUUUUUUUAAGCAAACAUUCAAUAUCGGAGCAACGGAUGAUUAAGUGUAUCGUGGAUUACUGCUUGGAAGAUCAACAUAAAUUGUCAGCGAAAUGCGCUAUAAAUUUGC